CCUGUAUGGACAGCCUAAUCUGGGUAAAGCCUGUAUGGACAGGCUAAUCUGGGUAAAGCCUGUAUGGACAGGCUAAUCUGGGUAAAGCCUGUAUGGACAGGCUAAUCUGGGUAAAGCCUGUAUGGACAGGCUAAUCUGGGUAAAGCCUGUAUGGACAGGCUAAUCUGGGUAAAGCCUGUAUGGAUAGGCUAAUCUGGGUAAAGCCUGUAUGGACAGGCUAAUCUGGGUAAAGCCUGUAUGGACAGGCUAAUCUGGGUAAAGACUGUAUGGACAGGCUAAUCUGGGUAAAGCCUGUAUGGACAGGCUAAUCUGGGUAAAGUCUGUAUGGACAGGCUAAUCUGGGUAAAGCCUGUAUGGACAGGCUAAUCUGGGUAAAGCCUGUAUGGACAGGCUAAUCUGGGUAAAGCCUGUAUGGACAGGCUAAUCUGGGUAAAGCCUGUAUUGACAGGCUAAUCUGGGUAAAGCCUGUAUGGACAGGCUAAUCUGGGUAAAGCCUGUAUGGACAGGCUAAUCUGGGUAAAGCAUGUAUGGACAGGCUAAUCUGGGUAAAGCCUGUAUGGACAGGCUAAUCUGGUUAAAGCCUGUAUGGACAGGCUAAUCUGGGUAAAGCCUGUAUGGACAGGCUAAUCUGGGUAAAGCCUGUAUGGACAGGCUAAUCUAGGUAAAGCCUGUAUGGACAGGCUAAUCUGGUUAAAGCCUGUAUGGACAGGCUAAUCUGGGUAAAGCCUGUAUGGACAGGCUAAUCUGGGUAAAGCCUGUAUGGACAGGCUAAUCUGGGUAAAGCCUGUAUGGACAGGCUAAUCUGGGUAAAGCCUGUAUUGACAGGCUAAUCUGGUAAAGCCUGUAUGGAAAGGCUUAUCUGGGUAAAGCCUGUAUGGACAGGCUAAUCUGGGUAAAGCCUGUAUGGACAGGCUAAUCUGGGUAAAGCCUGUAUUGACAGGCUAAUCUGUGUAAAGCCUGUAUGGAAAGGCUUAUCUGGGUAAAGCCUGUAUGGACAGGCUAAUCUGGGUAAAGCCUGUAUGGAAAGGCUAAUCUGGGUAAAGCCUGGAUGGACAGGCUAAUCUGGGUAAAGCCUGUAUGGAAAGGCUUAUCUGGGUAAAGCCUGUAUGGACAGGCUAAUCUGGGUAAAGCCUGUUUGGACAGGCUAAUCUGGGUAAAGCCUGUAUAGACAGGCUAAUCUGGGUAAAGCCUGUUUGGACAGGCUAAUCUGGGUGAAGCCUGUAUGGACAGGCUAAUCUGGGUAAAGCCUGUUUGGACAGGCUAAUCUGGGUACACAUGCAUUAAACCUUGUUGUCCCAGAACAAGACUAUUUUUUGUUGUUCUGGUUUUACAUUAUUUUCAAGAAAAGGUUUAUCACAUCAAAGAUACAUUGCUGUUUUUUUAAUCACUUUAUUUUCUGUGCACUAAAUUGCUGUAUUUUCUUUUCUAAAAAAUUGUUAUUUGAAAAGUUAGCUAUUAUAAUUUUUAUUCAUGACAAACAAUCAGCAGAUAUUGAAAUUUGGAGUUAAGUUCACUUUGACAUAACACAUUUGCGGUUUAAACUUUUGCCAAAGUUUCAUAGAUAAACCUGGGUGAGAAUAACAACAGUAUCAACAAAUGCAUUUUUGGAAUAAAAUCAUUUUAUACCGACUAUCUUGAUUUUUAUAAAACAUGUAUUGGUGUACGGAUAAAAUACAACAUUUUCAGAAAUGUAUUAUUACUGAUUAAAUGAUGGACAUGCGGAAAUAUUGUUUAAGGACUAAUGUUGAUAUCUUUUACUGAAACUUAGAUUUAAUCAAAUUUAUCAGUUUCUUAAAUCAUACGCAUGUUUUGCACAGACAAAAUUUAUUGUUUCAGCCAUCAGUUUUGUUUCUCAAAGCUUAAGUAUUAAUGUUUAUUAUAAAAUAUUAAGUCACUGUUUGACUUUUUGGCCUUGUGUUGUGUUUUAUACCAUGGAUGAAAAAUGUGAAAAUAGGUCUUAUGCUAUAUAUACCAGUGUAGCUCCUGGGGCCGUAUUCACCAACCUAUUCUUAGACUUAAGAAUAAAAAAUAGACUUGGAAUCAAGAAAGUGCAUUCAGUGUUUGAAUAUAUACAUGCCUCCACUGGUAAUUAAUCAUUAACAAAAUGUUCUACAUGAAGAAUGAUAUAGAUAGAAGCAAUCAAUAACAAGUUUUACUAAAAAUUCAAGCAACUAUUGAAUAUAUCAAUUAAAAGAAUAUUCUUUAUCCUUAGACUUUAAUCUAAGAACUGUUUGGUAAAAAUGGGCCCAGAUCAGCAUGCUCAACUGCCUUUCUGGUAAGUAGCUAGGCUGGUCGAGAGUUUCGAUUGCAACAUAUGGCAUUAUUCCCAGUUUUGCAUUAUCUCAUACAUUUGUAACACACUGUAUUUAUUUACCUAUGUUAAGUAAUCCAAGGGUACCUGAUAAACAAAGACUUCAUUUUCGAACAUUAUGAAAACAAAUCAUGAAGUUUUAUAUCGAAAUCAUAUCCUACUUGUAUUGACACCCCACCUUAUGUACUUAUCCACGCAGCAAGUAGGUAAGUUUGAAAAAUGUCCCCAGGGUUAUUACGUGCAUUGUGUACCCGUUGUUUAAUACUUUAUAACAGUGCAAUAGCGAGAUAGGUUUUCUUUUGUAAUAGGUUAUCAAAUUGAUUAUAUUCAAAGUUAUCUAAACUCUUAUUAAAGAUUACUAGCUUCUAACAGAACAA